GUGGGGAAUCUUCCGCAAUGGACGAAAGUCUGACGGAGCAACGCCGCGUGAGUGAAGAAGGUUUUCGGAUCGUAAAGCUCUUUCGUUAGGGACGAACGUGCUCUUUGUAAAUAAUGAGGAGUAAUGACGGUACCUAAAUAAGAAGCCACGGCUAACUACGUGCCAGCAGCCGCGGUAAUACGUAGGUGGCAAGCGUUGUCCGGAAUUAUUGGGCGUAAAGCGCGCGCAGGCGGGAUAUCAAGUCUGUCUUAAAAGUGCGAGGCUCAACCUCGUGAGGGGACAGAAACUGGUAUUCUUGAGUGUCGGAGAGGAAAGUGGAAUUCCAAGUGUAGCGGUGAAAUGCGUAGAGAUUUGGAAGAACACCAGUGGCGAAGGCGACUUUCUGGACGAUGUCUGACGCUGAGGCGCGAAAGCUAGGGGAGCGAACGGGAUUAGAAACCCUGGUAGUCC
rnacentral:rRNA from 1 species